rnacentral:ncRNA from 1 species
AAAAAGUUUUAUUUUGGCUUAAAAAUUUAUUACUAAUUUAAUUUAUAUGUAAAUUUUUGUGUGAAUUGAUGUUUAUUUUAAUAAUAGAUAAGUUAUUUUAUUCGCAGUAAUUGAUAUUAUUAAUUAAAGAAAUUUAGAAAUAGUAAUAUUAGAUAAUAUUGGCAAAAUUUGUGCCAGCAGCUGCGGUUAUACGAAUAAUAUAAGUAAAUUUAUUUAGUUAAAGUUAAAUUAUUUAAAUAUAUAGAUAAGUAAAUUUAUUGAGUGAAAUUUUAAAUUUAUAUAGUGUAAUUAAAAAUUAAUUGAAGCUUAAAAACUUUAAUUGUAAACUAGGAUUAGAUACCCUAUUAUUUAAAGUAAAAAUAAUUGAAUUAAGGUAUUAAUAGUUAUGUUCUUUAAACUUAAAAAUUUUGGCGGUAUUUUAGUCUGUUCAGAGGAACCUGUUUUAUAAUCGAUAAUCCACGGUGGACCUUACUUAAAUUUGUUUAGUUUAUAUACCGUUGUUAUUAGAAUAUUUUAUUAGAAUGUUAAUUUUCAAAAAUUUUUAUAAGAAGGUAUAUCAGAUCAAGGUGUAGCUAAUGUUUAAGUAAAAAUGGGUUACAAUAAAUUUAUUUAGAUGAAUAUAAAUUUGAAAUGUUUAUUGAAGGUGGAUUUGAUAGUAAAAUUAUAAAGAUUAAUGAUUUGAUUUUAGCUCUAAAAUAUGUACACAUCGCCCGUCGCUCUUAUUAUUAGAUAAGAUAAGUCGUAACAUAGUAGAUGUACUGGAAAGUGUAUCUAGAAUGC